UACGUAGGGGGGCAAGCGUUGUCCGGAUUUAUUGGGCGUAAAGAGCGUGUAGGCGGCUUUGCAAGUCCGUUGUGAAAACUCGAGGCUCAACCUCGAGACGCCGGUGGAAACUGCAAAGCUAGAGUCCGGAAGAGGAGAGUGGAAUUCCUGGUGUAGCGGUGAAAUGCGCAGAUAUCAGGAAGAACACCAGUGGCGAAGGCGGACUCACUGGACCAGAACUGACGCUGAGGCGCGAAAGCGUGGGGAGCAAACAGG
rnacentral:rRNA from 1 species